AUUGAACGCUGGCGGCAGGCCUAACACAUGCAAGUCGGACGAGCGGCGGACGGGUGAGUAAUGUAUGGGAAACUGCCUGAUGGAGGGGGAUAACUACUGGAAACGGUAGCUAAUACCGCAUACCAUCAGAUGACCCCAUAUGGGAUUAGCUAGUAGGUGGGGUAACGGCGUACCAAGGCGACGAUCCCUAGCUGGUCGGAGAGGAUGAUGAGUCAGCUGGGGACGGAGAAACGGCGCUGACACAUAAGGGAGGCAGCAGUGGGGAAUAUUGCACAAUGGGUGCAAGCCUAAUGCAGACAUGCCGGGUGUAUGAAGAAGGCCGUCGGGUUUGAAAGUAAUUACAGUAGGGAGGCGGUACCGACAGAAGAAGCACCGGCUAACUACGUGCCAGCAGCCGCGGUAAUUA
rnacentral:rRNA from 1 species